GUCAGGACAGCCCAGUGGUCUAAGGCACCAGACUCAAGGUUUCCCUUCCUGCGUUCGGGGUUUCUGAUCUCCAAACGCAGGCGAGGGUUUGAAUCCCACUUCUGACA
rnacentral:tRNA from 1 species